UACGUAGGGUGCGAGCGUUAAUCGGAAUUACUGGGCGUAAAGCGUGCGCAGGCGGUUUGCUAAGACAGGUGUGAAAUACCCGGGCUUAACCUGGGAACUGCGCUUGUGACUGGCAGGCUAGAGUACGGCAGAGGGGGGUGGAAUUCCUGGUGUAGCAGUGAAAUGCGUAGAUAUCAGGAGGAACACCGAUGGCGAAGGCAGCCCCCUGGGCCUGUACUGACGCUCAUGCACGAAAGCGUGGGGAGCAAACAGGAUUAGAUA
rnacentral:rRNA from 1 species